rnacentral:rRNA from 1 species
UACGUAGGGUGCAAGCGUUGUCCGGAAUUAUUGGGCGUAAAGAGCUCGUAGGCGGUCUGUCGCGUCUGGUGUGAAAAUCCAGGGCUUAACCCUGGACCUGCAUCGGGUACGGGCAGACUAGAGUGCGGUAGGGGAGAUCGGAAUUCCUGGUGUAGCGGUGAAAUGCGCAGAUAUCAGGAGGAACACCGGUGGCGAAGGCGGAUCUCUGGGUCGUAACUGACGCUGAGGAGCGAAAGCAUGGGGAGCGAACAGG